CGGUAUGAUUGCUGCACCCCCAUGGAGCUCUCACAGCGCUUUGGAUUUUCGGCCGUCCGAUCGAGCUAACGUGGCGCGAUCUCGGCCGUCGUUCCGUCCAGGGCGCUGAGGCCCUCCUGCAGACCCACUUUUUAUCCAUGGGUCACUAAAAGCCCUAUCGGCCCGACUUCGCUAGCGCUCCACCAAUCCCAGGACAGGACGUGGGGUGGUUCUCCCCAAUCCCCGCAUCGCCUCUCUUCCAGCCCCUGCCGCGCUCUCGUCUGGUCGCCCGCCGCCGCCGCCGGCUCGCGCCCCCAUCCCCGCUCCUGCCCCGUUCUCGUCCCCCGCCGCCACGCCUCGAGCCGCCGCCUCGCGCCCCCGCCGCCUCGCCCGUCCUCAGAAGGACAUGAGCACGGGGCAACACGACGUGCCGCUGUUAGUGAGGGCCGAGAGGAAGAGGAGGAGCAGGGAGGGAGAAGGAUUGGUGAAGUGGGGAUGGAGGGAGGAGGAAGAGUGACCCCUGGUGGCCUGCUGCAUCUUCCAUGGGCCUCCAACCCUGCUUCUCUUCGUCUCGCGCGGCGGCGGCCGGCCGGCCGGGCUCUUCCCUCACACAACCCCUAUUUGGGGCAGAAGGACGACGUCAAUGGUGCCGAUGUUUGAGUGAUACCUUCCUGCUAGUGAGGAAGAUUGAAAGAGCAAGAAGAAAGGGUGAGGGAGAUGAAAGAGGACACAACAAAUGACUACAGAUCUGCUCUAACAAAGGAAUAAACUUGUAAGGUGCGUGUUCCUCUCAGGUGUCUUCUCAUAGAUGCUCUCAGAUAAGGUUUGUGCUCCUCUCUGGUCUAUUAGCAUUGAUGCUUUAUGUGAUUCAGUAUGGAUUUUUGUUUCUGUUACUUAUGAAGCUUCAUUGAUUAAGGUGUACCAAAUCCUAGCUGCUCUAUUGUUACGAGGUAGUCAGGUAUGACAGUCAUCUUACCUUCUCCUCACCCCCUUCCUUGAACAUCUAUUCCUAAUUCGACCACUGGUCUGCAACACCUUCUUUGCUCCCGUAUUGUGAGGUUUUUGGUGUGUACAUAAGUUGUUUGUGUAAAUGGCCAAGGGAAAAAUUUGCCCAAGAAAGAUGGCGACAUAUGUGCAUACUCUUUUGUUUGAGAGAGAUGGAGCAGAGAAAUUAAUUGCUUGAACUACUUGUCGUAAUGCUCUUUCCAUGUACAUAUGCAUGUUAUGCUAGGCCAUAUAUGUUAUUUUUACACAUAUUUUCUGGGAUUGUUCAUAUAAAUCUUAAUUAGAUAUUAUGUUAUUUUUACACAUAUUUUCUGGGAUUUUUCAUAUAAAUCUUAAUUAGAUAUUAUGUAUACUGAUCUACAGGAGUUUCAUUGGGUCAAUUCCACUUGUCUCCCAAUCAUGUGUGACAUCAGUCCAAUUAGGAUUUUUUAAGAUGUUAGUGCCUUUCUCUUUGCGUAAUUAGGUUUUGCACAUCUAUUUUUCGUACAUUUGAUUUUACCCUCUUUGUUUGGUGGAGGUGUAUUAUGUAUGAAUAUAAAGUUCAGUAGGCCCAUAUCUUGCUGUUCAAGGAGGUAAUGGUUGGCCAUUUUUGAAUAUUGACCAUACUGCCGGUUGUGCAUCUUCUUGGCAGCUAUCCUCCCAUGCUUUUUUGCUUUUAUCGUUGCAGAUUUACUUGUAUGGCACAAAGCAUGAUUUGGUUAUUUUUUACAGGAAACACACAUUUUGCAUCUGGUUUAGGUAGCAUAAAGAUGCAGAUGCAGAUUCAUGGAGAGCAUCUGAUGAACCACUACUUGCCAUGGAAAUGGACCUCAUCUAUCGCUUAUUUCAGUACGCUCCGGAGUGUGCUCAGUAUCCACUUUCCGGCGUGCACUAUUUGAGAGGGAGUUCCUCUUCUUGAGAUCAUUCGGCAGAUUAUCCAACCAGUUUACAGGCAUACAAGUUAAUACCUUUCUAUUGUUCUCCACUCAGAUCGAGUGAGCCAUGACAGAUAUCUCAAAUUUGCAUAAUUUAAGUAGUUCACAAAUUCAUUGUUCAUAAACCAUGGAUAAUCAACUGCACUGUAGAACCACUCAUAUGUACACCAUCUACAAAGUGAUUCAGAUGACAAGCAAGCAGCAAUUUUGUUGCCUGGAAAUAGGGAAGAGUUGCAUAUAUGCCAUCCAUGCUCAUUUCCCCCCUCAUUUGUUCCCUAUUAUGAUGCAGUAUAGAGCCGGCCAAUAUUUGGUCGGUGUACAGGUUUUUGGGUCUGUAUUGAAGAAAAAAAAAAUCUUGGAGCUCAUUUAUAUUUGCAGAAGUCUGCUCCUAUUUACAUGCCAUGCAUGUGUGUACAUGGAAAUCUAUCAUUAUUUCUUUGCUUACAUCACAGUUUUGUUCACAUAAUUAUUAGCAUGUUUUUUUUAGUUUGUCUUACAUGUAAGCUAUAGUUGUAUAGACUGCAAGAGAAUUCUCUGUUCUCUUUAAUUUAUUUGAAUAGUGGACAAAAAUGAAUGACCUUUUCAGUUCUGCAACUGUGACUGCGAUAUAUGUCUGAUUUAUUAUGACACAGUCAUAAGCACUUGCUUCUCAAAGUAGCCACAUCAGAGGAAUUUCCUUUUAAAUUUUUGCCAUGUUAUAUUGACCAACUUGAUAGAUGUGAGUGAUAUCCUAGACUGCACAUGUCAACACAUUACUCUGGAAGACCAUUCAACUCCUGCUUCCUAGCGAAGUUGAGGAAAAUAGGACCUUGAUUGUAUCAUGCCCGGCAAGUAUGGACGAUUGUGAAGCAAAGCACGCUAAGAAGCAGCAACUUUCCAUAAGGUGGCAUGAGAAGUAGGAACACCAGUACUAGCUCCAUCAUGUCAGAACCAAUAGUUGACAUUACCCUGGAACACCAAUUCAACUCCUGCUUCCUAGCGAAGUUGAGGCAAGGAGGACCUUGAUUGCAUCAUUCUCGGCAAAUAUGGAUGAUUGUGAAGCAAAGUGCGCUAAGAAGAAGCAACUUUCCACAAGGUGGCAUGAUAAGUAGAAACACCAGUACUAGCUUCAUCGCGCCAGAACCAAUAGGAGCUUCAUAACUCUAGGUAGCAGAAGAAGCAUGCGGGGCCCUGGUAGCACAGGAAGCAGAGGCAGCAACAGAAGCUUUGUCCAGGUGUCGCGGUUGGUCGCCACCAGGGGGCCAGGCCAAUAUGAUGAUUCUGCGCUGGCAUACAGGUUGCAAUAGGAAUUAUAGGAGGAGUUCAUGACACAAUAUACUGCCCGAGCAAACCUGAGAGCUAUGCCCUCUUGGGUUGUUCGCCUCUGCACUCGUGGUUGGCCUCUUUAGUUGCCUGCAUUUCAGUUUGCCAAUACCUAAAUCUUCUUGUGGAAGACUAUACAAUUUACUUUUGAGUGUCUUCAACAGUUUGCGUUAUACUUUCUGUGGGUCUGUGGUCACUACUUGUCAGUGUCUUCAACAGUUUGCAUUAUCCUUUAGAAUUCCUUGAUGUGGCGUGUAUAUAGUUUAUUAGUUGCACUUUCGUCUUAUUAAAUCCAUUCGGUAAUCAUACCAGUUGAACUCUUUUAUCCCACGAUUAUCAAUUUUUUUUAUCUUAUUGUAGUCAAGUCAACAUUGUUCGCUCAAACUGUAGCGAGUUCAUCGUUUCAGUGACUCCUUAAUGAUUAUCAUAUCCUAUUGCAUUAUGGUCUACAUUGUUGGCUUGACCUGUUCUACAUCAUGUAGACCUACAGGAAUUUAGAUAGUACCCAAUGGCAUGAUUCGAUUAUCUGCUAGACUGAUUUUCGUCAUGUUUCCUAAAUGAUGUGUUGACAAGCCUUCAAAUCCCCCUUUUGCCCCCUUGUGUUUUCUAAGGGGAAAUUUUAGUUAUCACUCUUAGAUACAUCUAACUAGAAUGAUAGCAACCUAAGUGAAUUUUGUGUACUCUAUUUCCGUGUUUAUGCUAUAUCUACUUAGUGAUUUUUUUUUACUUGGCUUUGAUUGUUUCUAUUCGAAAUCAUGGCAUGCUUCUGCUAGAUAGUCACAUUAACCAGCUAAAACAAAAAUAAUAGGGGGUUUCGAAGUAGUAUUUUAUCAUCCACUUGUGUAAAUGCCAACAUAGGUGUUCUCUGAAUUUAUUAUCAAGUGUAUUACAAAAGGAUCAUUGGUGCAAAAUACCGCCUAUUGACUGUUGCCACCUUGGUCUCCUCAGCCUGGAUGAUGAUUAUUUUCCCCAAGAUGAUUUUUAGAGCACGUCUGCAAUAAUAAUCUAGGAGGCAAGGUGAUGCUACUUCUUCGGCAAGCUUGGCGGACUUUCUUCUGAACUACGAAGCCCUGCUGACGGACAUAAAACAUUCAGAGAUGACUGACAAAGAUAAAGUUUCUGCUGAUAUUCACGUGCUGGCUAACCAGAAUUGCUCAUCUAUUUCCAGCAGAGUCAAAGACAAACAGCGAGCCCAUUGGGUUGCGCCUCCAAACGGCAAAGUAACGAUCAAUGUCGACGCCGCUUACCUGCCGGCGACCAGAGACGCGGCUGUUGGGGCGGUGGCUCGCGAACAUGAUGGCACCAUCAUCGCCGCUCUUAGCUAGACUACAGGUUUCUGCCAGGAUGCAGAAGAGGCAUACGGAAGGGCGAUCCUGGCUGGCCUGUGGAUGGGGAACUGACGGCUUUGGAAUCUGACCGUGCAAUGCUGUUCGCGCAUCUAAUGAUCCUUUCGCUGAUCACUCUCGUCUCUGGAGUGUUUACAAUGAUCUUCUGAAGCCAUGACUUGAUUACCCGGGUGCUCCGUGCUGUAUUCCGGGAGAAAGUUAAAUUAUGUUGCCCAUGGGCUUGCUCAGCUUAGCUACGCGUUCCGGUGCUUGUAACCUGUGGCUGGCGCCUGUGCCAACUGCUAUUGCAGAACUCGUGCUAAACGAGAUUGUAAUCUAUGAUUCAGAGUAAUAUAUGAGCUUUCCCCCUCACUAAAAGAAGAAAAUAAUUGGGCCCCAAAAAAAAUGAAUUUGUUAUAUACAAGUUUUUGUGCAUUCUUUUUUGAUGAAAGUAUUACCAAAAGUAUAUAGUAUUGUGGCUAAUCCUGUGGCUACUUGAAUUGGUUUUGUAUUUACAUUUAUUUACCUUGGUUCAAAAAUUUGCAACGGUUUUUUUAUUUGAUGAAAUGCGACCGAGUGCAGAGCGAUAAGUUCAAUGCCCACCGCCUAUUUGAUGAAACGCAAGCACUGGGUGUUCUUUUUAUGCUUUGUUUCUUCAUAUAUUUCUAAUGUUCCCCUACAUGUAUUUUUGGUUCUUUGAUUGUUUACUAGGUAAGGUAUUGUCUUAUUUCUCAAAAGAAAAAGAAAAAAAGGUAUUGUCUUCAGUGCAUAUGUUAACCAAGAACAAAGUAGUCAAGCUUAGGACCUCUGAAUUUAGACCUGAUACGAACAUGAUUUGCUUUAGGUUUGUAGCUCUUUUUCCAGCACAGAUGAUUCUCCACCACUUAGAGAAACUUCAAUACCUUUUUUUGUCAUAUUUUGCAUGAUUCCUUGAUUCGCGAGUGCCACUAGCUUGCAGAUUGUUCUUUUCCUAUACCUGCACUCCUUUGAGAUUUUCUUAUUAUGAAUUUUAUAUUGAUAUAUACAAAAUACUUAGUUCUUCCAAUUGAUAUAGGCUACUUUAUGAACUUAAAUUAUAAUAUAUUAGUAGUAGAAGUCGAUAUAUUUGUUACUUGAAUUUCUCCCAAAUCCCAAUAUUAUGUGCCAACUGUAAUCGGCUCUUGCUUCUGCGCUACGAUUGUCCAUCUUUUCUCAGUCCGGAGAGAUUUUCGGUGGUAUGGCCUGAUGUUUGUUAUUAUUCACUUCCAGGCAACAGUGCUUCCAAGAAGGUAUGGCCUACAUUUAUUUCCUUGAAUGUUCAUAUAUUUAUCACUAAAUUGAUAUUCAAAAUAUCCAUGAUGUUUAAGUUUCAAGCUCUAUCAUUGAUCUAGGUUUUAGCAAAUAUAAAUUAACUUAUCAUGUGUAAAACAAUUUUCUAGCCGAAAUGAAGUGGUAUUAAUUGUUAUGCUAUGCUACUUGGCUAGCGCUUGUAGCAUUAGAUUUUUUCUGGUACCUUGAAAAUUAUUGUGUUCUUGAAGUUCUUAUCGAAGGAGUUUGGUUUUAUUAAGAGCAUAUUGGAGUAAUACAUAAAGACCGAUGGUUAUAGGAAGGUUGAGAAUUUUUUUUGCCUGCUCCUUUUUUUUACUUUUUAUCAAGCUGCACCAAAGUGCUAAUAAUUAGACCAGGUGUAGAGUGCUUGCACUUCAAAAUAUGUUACCAGUCAGAUUGUUUCAGUUAUGUAGGGUUCGUUUAAAUAUAUUGCAUACCACACCAGAAAUGGUCAGUACCUACGACCGCGCGAGAGCGGCGUGCCGGCAGGAUCCCCUCCUCCAUCUCCUCCUUUACCCCACCGUCUACACCUCCGUCGAGACAACAGGAAAGGGGACGGAUGAGGAGUCCCACAAUGGUGCCACCGGUGCCCUCCAUGGGGCCGUCGGUGACUCUCCGGACCUGCUCGGCGUGGACUCCACCAUCGAUCCCCUAUCCAUCAUCCUCUGGCUUGAUUCCGCCAAGGUCGUCCUCAACAACCGCGAGCCAGCGAGAAGCCUCUCUUGGUAGCGGUGUACAUCUAUGCUUUCAGUCCGUUAGAUCAAUUCCAACCUGAACGAUCGAAGACCGCAUUUCUUUGUUUGUAUUAUGCAUUUCCUCAAUUGUAUGUGUCAUGUUAGUCACAUGUUCAAGCAGGUCAUGUUGGAAUAUAAUGCGAGCCUUUGAAAACUUAA